rnacentral:rRNA from 1 species
UACGUAGGGUGCGAGCGUUGUCCGGAAUUAUUGGGCGUAAAGAGCUCGUAGGCGGUUUGUCGCGUCUGCUGUGAAAAUCCAGGGCUUAACCCUGGACCUGCAGUGGGUACGGGCAGACUGGAGUGCGGUAGGGGAGAUCGGAAUUCCUGGUGUAGCGGUGAAAUGCGCAGAUAUCAGGAGGAACACCGGUGGCGAAGGCGGAUCUCUGGGCCGUAACUGACGCUGAGGAGCGAAAGCGUGGGGAGCAAACAGG